CUGACCAUCUCGGCUCAGUGGAACAGACCACUUCCUUUACUUACCUGAUCAGACCACCUGUCCACCUGGUCUUGGCAUAACGAUGUCUGUAGAUUAGGUGAGAGUUAAUUGAGUUUCUUGAUAUACGGUGUUUGGGUCAGGGGCUAAUGUGUGAUUAGGUUAGGUUAGGUUGUAUUAGGUGAAAGUUGGUUGAGUUUCUUGAUAUAUACUGUUUGAGUCAGGAGGUACAGUGUGGCUGGACCCUUACCUGCACACACCUGGGAGAGUGAGACGAGGCACACUGGUAUCUGUAAGGGAUUGUAUGUUUAUUUCAACGGUGAGUGAGUCUGUCUUGGUUGUGUCUGGGACAGGAGAAGAAGUAUGAAGGGAAGGAAAUGUCUGGGCUGAGAUUUCUGUGUUUGUUAAUAAAAAGUUGUGAUGUA